rnacentral:rRNA from 1 species
AGGGCAUACGGUGAAUGCCUUGGCGUCAGCGGCCGAGGAAGGGCGUGGCAAGCGACGAUAUGCGCCGAUCAGCUGCAAGCAAGCUUAGUCGGCGAUGCCCGAAUGGGGAAACCCGCCGCGGACAACCCGCGGCAUCCGCAGGUGAAUACAUAGCCUGCGGAGGGUAAGCGGGCGAAUUGAACCAUCUUAGUAGCCCGAGGAAAGGAAAGCAAACGCGACUCCCUGAGUAGUGGCGAGCGAAAGGGGAUCAGCCCAAACCUGAUGCGCGUGAUAGGUCGCAGCCGUUUCGCAUCAGGGGUUGUGGGGCGGUCUGUGGUGGGUCUGCGAACCCACCGGGGAGUCAGAAACCCUGGCUCUAGCCGAAUUGUCUUGGAAAAUUCAGCCACAGCGGGUAACAGCCCCGUAGGCGAAAGGGCUAGGGCUCCCUAUGAUCGACCCCAAGUACCACGGGACACGUGAUAUCCUGUGGGAAUCCGGGGGGACCACCCUCUAAGGCUAAGUACCGCUGACGACCGAUAGUGAACCAGUACCGUGAGGGAAAGGUGAAAAGCACCCCAGGCGGGGAGUGAAAUAGAACCUGAAACCGUGUGCCUACAAACAGUGGGAGCGCUAUGCCCGAAACGGCUGGGCUUCGGCCUGGCGACCUCGGGAAUGCGUGACCGCGUGCCUUUUGCAUAAUGAACCGGCGAGUUACGGUAUGCAGCGAGGUUAAGGGGUUCAGCCCCGGAGCCGUAGGGAAACCGAGUCUGAAAUGGGCGCGCGGACUUCUGUCCGCAUAGUUGCAUGCCGUAGACCCGAAACCAAGCGAUCUACCCAUGGCCAGGCUGAAGCGCGGCUGACCCCGCGUGGAGGGCCGAACCAGCUGGUGUUGAAAAACCAUCGGAUGAGCUGUGGGUAGCGGUGAAACGCCAAUCGAGCUUGGCGAUAGCUGGUUCUCCCCGAAAUAGCUUUAGGGCUAGCCUCCAGACUUAAGUGGCGGAGGUAGAGCACUGACUGGGCUAGGGGGCCUACAAGCCUACCAAACUCAUUCAAACUCCGAAUGCCGUCACUUGGACCUGGGGAGUCGGACUGCGGGAGAUAAGUUUCGUAGUCGAGAGGGAAACAGCCCAGACCGCCAGCUAAGGUCCCUAAAUCAGGCUAAGUGGGAAACGAUGUGGAGCUGCGCAAACAACCAGGAGGUUGGCUUAGAAGCAGCCAUCCUUUAAACAACGAGUAAUAUCGGACUGGUCGAGUGGCUCUGCGCGGAAAAUGUAACGGGGCUCAAGCCUGGUACCGAAGCUGCGGAUCGCGCUCUGCGCGAUGGUAGGGGAGCGUUCCGUCAGGAGUGAAGGGAGACCGUGAGGACUCCUGGACCGGACGGAAGUGCGAAUGCCGGUGUGAGUAGCGAAAAGGGAAGUGAGAAUCUUCCCCGCCGAAAGCCUAAGGUUUCUUAGGGAAGGCUCGUCCUCCUAAGUUUAGCCGGUCCUAAGCCGAGGUCGAAAGACGUAGGCGAUGGGUAGUCGGGUUGAUAGUCCCGCGCCUCUGGCGAACGCUAUUACCGAUGGGGUGACACGGCCCAUAAGCCCAACGUGCUGAGUGGUGCCACGUGGGGUGUCGUAGGGUGUCGGGGGUUAAAAGACCCGGCUUGGCCCGAGAGCACCUAGAACCAGGACCUAACGGAAAUGGCUACUGGGUAGAGGGGUCGUCCAGAAAAACCUCUAGGGAGAACGCCAGAGACCGUACCGCAUACCGCCACAGGUAGGCAAGGAGAGAAUCCUCAGGCGCGCGAGAGAACCCUCGCUAAGGAAUUCGGCAAAUUCACCCCGUAACUUCGGGAGAAGGGGUGCCUCGUACGUGUGAUGCGGCUUGCCCGUUGAGCACGCGGAGGUUGCAGCGAACAGGCCUAGGCGACUGUUUACCACAAACACAGGUCUCUGCGAAGGGGUAACCCGACGUAUAGGGGCUGACGCCUGCCCAAUGCCAUACGGUUAAGGGGAACUGUCACCCUCUUCGGAGGUGCAGCGGUGAACCGAAGCCCUGGUGAAUGGCGGCGGUAACUAUAACCGUCCUAAGGUAGCGAAAUUCCUUGUCGGCUAAAAACCGACCUGCACGAAAGGCGUAACGACUUGGGCGCUGUCUCGGCGAGGGACUCGGCGAAAUCGAAGUACCUGUGAAGAUGCAGGUUUCCCGCGGCAGGACGGAGAGACCCCGUGGAGCUUUACUGCAGCCUGGUAUUGAGUUCGUGCAAGCCCUGUGCAGGAUAGGUGGGAGACGUUGAAGGCGGGCCGCCAGACCCGCUGGAGUCGACGGUGAGAUACCACUCUUGGCUCGUCAUGAAUUCUAACCCGUGCCGCAUCAUUCCGGUACGGAGACCGUAUCAGGUGGGUAGUUUGACUGGGGCGGUCGCCUCCCAAAGAGUAACGGAGGCGCCCAAAGGUUCC